rnacentral:rRNA from 1 species
UACGGAGGGGACUAGCGUUGUUCGGAAUUACUGGGCGUAAAGCGCACGUAGGCGGAUUUGUAAGUCAGGGGUGAAAUCCCGGGGCUCAACCUCGGAACUGCCUUUGAUACUGCAAAUCUCGAGUCCGGAAGAGGUGAGUGGAAUUCCUAGUGUAGAGGUGAAAUUCGUAGAUAUUAGCUAGAACACCAGUGGCGAAGGCGGCCAACUGGUCCGGUACUGACGCUGAGGUGCGAAAGCGUGGGGAGCAAACAGG